rnacentral:rRNA from 1 species
GAUGAACGCUGGCGGCGUGCCUAAUACAUGCAAGUCGAGCGAACAGACGAGGAGCUUGCUUCUCUGAUGUUAGCGGCGGACGGGUGAGUAACACGUGGAUAACCUACCUAUAAGACUGGGAUAACUUCGGGAAACCGGAGCUAAUACCGGAGAAGAUCUUGAACCGCAUGGUUCAAAAGUGAAAGACGGUGUUGCGGUCACUUCUAGAUGGAUCCGCGCUGCAUUAGCUAGUUGGUAAGGUAACGGCUUACCAAGGCAACUAUGCAUAGCCGACCUCAUAGGGUGAUCGGCCACCCUGGAGCUGGGCCGCGGUCCAGACUCCUACGGGAGGCAGCAGUAGCGAGUCUUCCGCAAUGGGCGAAAGCCUUACGGAGCAGCGCCGCGUGUGUGAUGAAGGUCUUCGGAUCGUAAAACUCUGUUACUAGGUAAGAACAGAUGUGUAAGUAACUGUGCACAUCUUGACGGUACCUAAUCAGAAAGCCACGGCUAACUACGUG